GAAGUGACAAGGAAGUACCCCCUCAGCCUCAGGCCGUGGAGGGGGCCUGGCUGUCCACCAGGGCCUGCGGGUAUCCUGGCAGAGACAGGAGGUAGCACAGGCCCCAGGCGCUCGGGUGCCAGAGCCUCCUGAGAAGGAACAGGUGCGAAGCAGGGCAAUUAGCUGGGAAGGCGUCUGGGGGGCAGGCAGCCCAGAGCUGAUUGGGGAAGUCACCAGGAUUACAUCAUCGGCUGCAGGGACGAGCCUCUAAGCUUCUCCGGUGUACUUGGCACCCUGGCUUCUCUCUGGGAGGAAGGAAGAGCCUCUAUUCAUGGGCUGUGACUUGGAGAGGCCGCACGAGUCUAGUGGUGUUUGGCGCAUGGGAGGCACUUGUUUUCUAGCUGGUGAAUGAAUCAGAGUGAAAGCUUUGCCACCUCUUGCUUCUGUAUGCGCCUGAGAAUGGACCCUUGUCUAACCCACCUCUGUAUCUGUAAUAUCACCACUUCAUCUGGUACAACCCACGUGUUCAGUGACUCUACUAAACGGAUGAACAGGACCAUGAGAUGCUGCUGCUCAGCCAGUGCCCGGCAGCAUGCCCAUUUGAUGCUGUGUGGGGGCUCGGGGAUGCCUCCCGCUCCCUGAAUUCACCUCCAGCACUGUGCCUGGCACGGCAUGCUCAGAUGGGUAUCCAAGGACUCUCCUGUCCUCCCGGACUCCAAGGAGCGUGGAGUCAAGUGGAUUUGUCAUCUCUCCUCCGUCACCACCUCACCCUCUUCGUCUGUUGAGGUUCCCAUUUCAGUUUAUUAAAGACCCUUUUUCUCAGUUACAAUGGUCUAAGUCUCCU